UACGAAGGGAGCUAGCGUUGUUCGGAAUCACUGGGCGUAAAGCGCACGUAGGCGGAUGUGUCAGUCAGGGGUGAAAUCCCGGAGCUCAACUUCGGAACUGCCUUUGAUACAGCACGUCUUGAGUCCGAGAGAGGUGGGUGGAAUUCCUAGUGUAGAGGUGAAAUUCGUAGAUAUUAGGAAGAACACCGGUGGCGAAGGCGGCCCACUGGCUCGGUACUGACGCUGAGGUGCGAAAGCGUGGGGAGCAAACAGG
rnacentral:rRNA from 1 species